GGGAAGCAAGGCUGCGAAGCGGAGCAAAACCCUAAAAAAUCGUCUCAGUUCGGACUGCAGGCUGCAACUCGCCUGCACGAAGUCGGAAUUGCUAGUAAUCGCGGAUCAGGAUGCCGCGGUGAAUACGUUCCCGGGCCUUGUACACACCGCCCGUCACACCAUGGGAGUCGGUAACACCCGAAGCCUGUAGUCUAACCUUAGGGGGGACGCAGUCGAAGGUGGGAUUGAUAAUUAGGGUGAAGUCGUAACAAGGUAGC
rnacentral:rRNA from 1 species